rnacentral:rRNA from 1 species
GACGAACGCUGGCGGCGUGCCUAAUACAUGCAAGUUGAGCGCUGAAGGUUGGUACUUGUUCCGACUGGAUGAGCAGCGAACGGGUGAGUAACGCGUGGGGAAUCUGCCUUUGAGCGGGGGACAACAUUUGGAAACGAAUGCUAAUACCGCAUAAAAACUUUAAACACAAGUUUUAAGUUUGAAAGAUGCAAUUGCAUCACUCAAAGAUGAUCCCGCGUUGUAUUAGCUAGUUGGUGAGGUAAAGGCUCAACAAGGCGAUGAUACAUAACCGACCUGAGAGGGUGAUCGGCCACAUUGGGACUGGGGCACGGCCCAAGCUCCUACGGGAAGCAGCAGGAGGGAAUCUUCCGCAAUUGACGAAAGUCCGACCGAACAACGCCGCGUGAAGGAAGAAGGGUUUCGGAUCGGAAAACUCUGUUGAUAGGGAAAAACGAUAGUGGGAGUGGAAAGCUCAUCAAGUGACGGUAACUACCCAGAAAGGGACGGCUAACUACGUG